rnacentral:lncRNA from 1 species
UUAUGAGGUGCUGACCAAGUGUUGUUACUUUGUAGCCGAUCCAUCAUCCAAGAUGGCCACCAGUGGGGGACUUAGUUUAACAUAGGACCCUAUGGGAAAUGCAUGCAAAUGACUUCUUCUAGAGAACCACUGAAUGGAAUGAAAUCAAACAUGACAUGAAUGUUCCUUAUGAGGUGCUGACCAAGUGUUGUUACUUUGUAGUCGAUCCAUCAUCCAAGAUGGCGGCCAGCAGGGGACUUAGUUU